rnacentral:lncRNA from 1 species
AUAUGCUCAAGAUAUAUUUGCUAAGUGAAUAGAUGAAUGAGUAACCAAGUCACACCAUGCUUAUGUCAUAUCAUAACUGAAUCAUUUAGACAGGUCUUCGUCUAAUACAUAUUUUGUAUCCAUUAUGCUUAACUAUGAGCCAAGCAUGUUGUGCAUCCUCCAGGAAUAUCUGCUGCAUGACUCAUGGAGUUUUUCUCUAUAUUCUCUUGAGGAAUCGAAGAAGCUUAAACAGGUACACAUUUAU